rnacentral:rRNA from 1 species
AGACACGGACCCAGGCCCUAUGGGGCGCAGCAGGCGAGAAAACUUUGCAAUGUGCGAAAGCACGACAAGGUUAAUCCGAGUGGUUUCUGCUAAAGGAACCUUUUGUCAGUCCUAGAAACACUGAUGAAUAAGGGGUGGGCAAGUUCUGGUGUCAGCCGCCGCGGUAAAACCAGCACCUCAAGUGGUCAGGAUGAUUAUUGGGCCUAAAGCAUCCGUAGCCGGCUCUGUAAGUUUUCGGUUAAAUCUGUACGCUCAACGUACAGGCUGCCGGGAAUACUGCAGAGCUAGGGAGUGGGAGAGGUAGACGGUACUCGGUAGGAAGGGGUAAAAUCCUUUGAUCUAUUGAUGACCACCUGUGGCGAAGGCGGUCUACCAGAACACGUCCGACGGUGAGGGAUGAAAGCUGGGGGAGCAAACCGGAUUAGAUACCCGGGUAGUCCCAGCUGCAAACUAUGCAAACUCAGUGAUGCAUUGGCUUGUGGCCAAUGCAGUGCUGCAGGGAAGCCGUUAAGUUUGCCGCCUGGGAAGUACGUACGCAAGUAUGAAACUUAAAGGAAUUGGCGGGGGAGCACCACAAGGGGUGAAGCCUGCGGUUCAAUUGGAGUCAACGCCAGAAAUCUUACCCGGAGAGACAGCAGAAUGAAGGUCAAGCUGAAGACUUUACCAGACAAGCUGAGAGGUGGUGCAUGGCCGUCGCCAGCUCGUGCCGUGAGAUGUCCUGUUAAGUCAGGUAACGAGCGAGAUCCCCGCCUCUAGUUGCCACCAUUACUCUCAGGAGUAGUGGGGCGAAUUAGCGGGACCGCCGCAGUUAAUGCGGAGGAAGGAAGGGGCCACGGCAGGUCAGUAUGCCCCGAAACUCUGGGGCCACACGCGGGCUGCAAUGGUAAUGACAAUGGGUUCCAAAUCCGAAAGGAGGAGGUAAUCCUCAAACAUUACCACAGUUAUGACUGAGGGCUGCAACUCGCCCUCACGAAUAUGGAAUCCCUAGUAACUGCGUGUCAUUAUCGCGCGGUGAAUACGUCCCUGCUCCUUGCACACACCGCCCGU